GGGACUUUGAUGACCUCCGUCUUUAGCUCCAUUAUUAUCUGAUGACGAUGAUUUUUGUUGUGUUAGGCGCUCCUGUUUGCGGAAUUUUGCCCUUCGAUUUUGAAACCAAACCUGGAAGCAAAAGAAAAAAAAAACGAAAAUGACGAUCGUUUAGCAACAAACAAGAAAAAACAGUGUCAGAUGUUCUUUUCAACGGAGCGUGAUGGAAGCCUCGACCAUUAGUUCCGCACUGCGACUGUAUCACAUGUGUGUCAACAAAACACUUGCGACUGAGAGAGGGGGGAUGAUGGCGCUAUUAUGAACUCCACAUGAGUUGAGGACUGCGACCACAUGGGGUUCACCCCGCCCUUGUGUUGGAUGUAGCCAUCUGUCGUGACACCUGAGGGGAUUGUUGUGAUGUUGUUGUCGCUGUAUCUCUUUCAAUUUUACAAGAUGUCUCUAUUCAACCCCCCCUCCUGCCUCCACUGUACAUUAGAGGCGCUGCUGUAAUGGCUCAUUUUUUCGAUUCGAUCAAUCAAUCAGAGGGUUUCCUGGACACGCGACUCGUAUACUAUUCUCGUUUGCUGCUCCACUGGGCUCUACCGAAAGAAAGGGAAGCUGAUGGGCCAUAAGGAUGACCAAUGCAAUGAUCAUCAGGAACAACAAAAUCCUUUCGGGAAUUGGUUCCAGUUUCGCGUCGUGGGAAUAUCCGAGUUUUGCGGUUUUCACGGCCCCUUUGACAUUGUCGCUAUUAGCUAAUGGAUCUAAUGUAACUGGUUCCUCCACUUGAAACAUUCAGAAAAUCUCAAGUUUGAUAUUCAAAGGCUUUGAGUGGCACACGCCGUGGAACACACGCGACUGGAGAAGCACAACGUCACACGCGAUUGCAAGGGGGGAAGUGUGUGGUGCAAAGUCUCAAUGGGUUUAAUGACGCGUGCAGUGUGCGUCAAAAAAAGAGAACAAAAAUGAUAAAAAGAUCGGGGGGAGAGAUGUUGUAGCUACAAAGAAAUAGCACUCGACAAUGAUGACCUUAUUGACGCAUCCAUUUUUGUCUAUCCUCUUUUUUUUUUUUUAAUAGGCCAAAUGGUUUGCUAAGGAUAAAAUAAUUCACUUAUCGAGUAGCAACUGACCUGGACUCUGGCUUCAGUGAGAUCAAUCCGAAUGGCAAUCUCUUCACGGGUGUAGAUGUCAGGGUAGUGCGUCUCCUGAAAUGCCCUUUCAAGUUCCUGAAUUUAAACAAAAAAAAAAAUUCAGUAAUUAUCAUUAGGAU